AGAAAAAAAAAGAAUAAGCCAGUAUCUAGUCAGUGUAUCUACAGAAUUGUUUUUACAGUCUACUAAACAUGUGGCGACUUCUCUGAGAGGACUGACAACUCUGUUACUCCAGAGGCGCUGGAUUCUUAAAAUUCAAGAAGGUACAGCCCUCGGCCUGGCUGGAAACCAUCCUUCUCCACUCAGUCCUGAAAACAUACCUGUCCUGCCAACCACGAUCCCCUAAGCCGACUGCACUCCUGACGGGGCACAGAAAGACGGGCUAACAGCUGGGGACCUAACAUACCAGCAGAGAAAUGCAGACUGUCUGCCUGGCUGUUUCCCAGUUUCAGGAGUACCACGGAAUGACUCAACAAUCUGGUCUAUUCCUCAGUGCCUCAGCAUGAUGAAGUGUAGAAAAGGAUUCGUUUUUAACACAAGACAACCCCUUUACAACCUCAAGCUCUA